rnacentral:lncRNA from 1 species
GGUGGCGAUUUGAGGGUAGAUGGUGGAUUUAGGGUUUUGACGGCGUGAGUUUAGAGGGUUUCGUUGGUGGAUUUGAGAUGAUGAUGGAGUGAAUUUUCUGUAAAUGAGAGACGUGAGAGGGUUUUUCGUGUGAGCUGAGGGUUGAGUGGUGUGAGGGAGUGUGAGCGUUUUGAGUGAACAGUGCGUGAGGAGUGGAUGUGUGGGAAAAAGAAAAGGUUUUAAGGAGAGUUGAGAGAGAAUGAUAGCUGGCGAGGGACACGUGGCAGAGAGGAUGAGAGAUUUCUUUUCUAAUUUUGUUUUUUUAUGUGAGGAGG